UCACCACCACCAACACCACCACCACCACCACCACCAGCUUUAUCAUCGACACUUCCAUCACCACUGCUGCAUCAACCACUAGCACCACCACUACCACCACCACCACAACCACCACCACCACCACUCCACCGCCAUCAUCACCACAGUCAUUAACCACCACCACAAUCAUCCCCAUCACCUCUACAGCCUCAUUCACCACCACCAUUAACACCAUCACCUCCUCUACUACUACUACUACUACUACUACUACUACUACUACAGCAUAUACUUCUACUAACAACUCCCGUGUCUUGGGGAAUAUAACCACCAAAUAUAUAUAAAAAUUCGACAAUGCAAAAAGCAAUCCGAUUCAAUGAGAGCCAAAUAUUAUAUUUGGCCCAAAAGGCUCGCCAGGAGAACACUCUGUGCGGUUACCUGUACAAGAAAAGUUCCGAUACUGGCAAGUGGCAGCUCAGGUGGUUCAUACUUUACCAGAAUUUCCUGUUUUACUAUGAGAAUGAUUCUGCAAGUCGGCCGUCAGGAGUGGCCCUGUUAGAAGGAAGCUAUUGUGACCGAGCAGUCGUAACUACAAGCAACAAAACGAAGGAUGAAAAACAGUUUUGUUUUAGUAUCACCUAUCACCAAAGUGCCGGACAACGACAAUAUGAUCUUAAGGCUGACACCGAGGCUGACUGCAUUGCCUGGAUUGAAGCCAUUCGACAAGCUAGCUAUAGCAAGAUGAUAGAAUGCAAAGAAGAACUGGAACAGAAACAUUUGCAUCUUCUACAGAUAUUAGACAGUGAAAGGCAGGCGAAAUGGCAUUAUGUCCAGCAAACAGAAGAACACACUGCCGAAAUUAAGAAACUUAAAAACGAGUACACUCAGCUCCUAAAAUACAAGGCUGAAAGAAAGUUGUCAAAUCACCGAUUGGCCGAGGAAAAUGAGGAAAUUAGGAAAAUCAAGAAGGUUCAAAGUUUUUUUCGUGGUUGGCUCUGUCGACGGCGUUGGAAACAAAUUGUGGAGCUCUACAUCCGUUCUCCUCAUGCUGAAAGCAUGAGGAAACGUAACAGCAUUGUGUUCAAUAUGGUUGAAAGUGAAGAGGAAUAUAAUAGGCAGCUAUCCACUCUUGUUACAUGUUUUCUUCGACCUUUUAGGAUGGCUGCCAGCUCUAAGAAACCCCCCAUCACACACGAGGAUGUCAAUUCUAUAUUUCUAAAUAGUGAAACUUUAUUGUUUUUACACCAAAUCUUCUUAAAAGGAUUAUCAGCAAGGUUAGAAAAUUGGCCAACAUUAGUAUUAGGUGACCUUUUUGACAUCCUUUUACCCAUGUUAUGUAUCUAUCAGGAGUAUGUUAGGAACCAUCAUUACAGUUUACAAGUUUUAGCAGAAUAUAAACAAAAACCAGACUUUAACAAUUUACUUAAACGCUAUGAAGAAAAACCAUUAUGUGAGGGGAGAAGUGUUGAAAUAUUCCUCACGCAUCCUAUGCAUCAGAUCCCUAGGUAUAUAAUUACUCUUCACGAACUUUUGGCACACACUCCUCAUGACCAUGUGGAGAGAGAGAAGCUAGAGUAUGCCCAAAGUAAACUGGAAGAGUUAUCACGCAUAAUGCAUGAUGAAGUAAGUGAAACUGAAAACAUACGAAAAAAUUUAGCUGUCGAACGGAUGAUAAUUGAAGGAUGUGAUAUUUUGUUAGACGUCAAUCAAACAUUUAUCCGGCAAGGACUUCUACUUCAGUUGUUGCCAGAUAAACCAAAGAAUCUGCUCGGUCUUUCUUCUAAACGAGAAGUUGUGCGACAAGUCUUUCUUUUCUCUAAUCAUAUGUUGCUUACAAGCCGGGCAUCCAAUGGAAGACUGCACCUUGCCAAGAACUCAAGUAAGCAUUUGAAAGGACAAUUCUUAGACAAAUAUAGACAACAAGGGAAAAUUCCUCUGAUAGACUGCACACUUAUUGAAGAUCCCAGUUCUGAAGUUUUCCUCGUUGAUGAAGACACUUAUUCUUUAGACUCGGUUGGCAGUUUUGGCAGUCAGUCACUUGGUCCAAAUGCAUUGGGAAACCAAACUGAUGGAAAAGAUAGACCAGAUCAUCAUGGUCUUGAAUUCCGUCUUAUUAUAGAUUCAAAAAGUGGACCACCAUUAACACUGUCCCUAGUGGCAGCAACCCCACAAGAAAAAGCUGCUUGGUGUAGUGAGAUUAGUCAGUGCAUUGAAAAUCUUCACUACAGCGACCUUCUGAACAGCUCCAUGUGGGAAUCUUCAUCAGUGACUAUGCCACAGUCAGUUAGGUCUGAUCCAAAGCUUUUUCGUGAUGAUGUGGAUAUAAAAUUUAGCAGAACCCUUAAUUCUUGCAGAGUCCCUCAGAUUCGACAUGCCACCGUUGACCGCCUUCUUGAUCGAUUAACAGAUCUGCGAUUUCUUAGUAUUGAUUUUCUCAACACAUUUCUACUCACAUAUAAAGUGUUCACUACAGGUUAUACUGUCCUUGAAGCACUAAGAAAAGUAUAUCGAAAUCCAGACUGCUGUGGAAACUUAGAAGCAAUUUCACAUAUGAACGAUCAAGAUGGCUAUCAAGAAGGUCAUGAUAAUACGGUUCAAUUCAGUGGAAGCCCUCCAGACUCCCGUCUACUUAUCCGACCUCAGCCGAAUGGCCGUCGAAUCAGCACGGGCUGUAUGAGAACAGAGAUCACAGGUGAUAGUAGACAAGUGGCUGCUGACAAAGCUACCGUUCCUGCAGCACCCCCAUGCACUCCCAGUGCAUUUCACAAAUAUCGUGGUGGUGAUUCUACAGAAAGUGAAGAAAGCCAAUCGGAAAUAUCUUCCUAUCUUAAACCCUCCAGGCCCAAGUUAGCGCCAAUUGCUUCAUGUGAAACUUUAUAUGAUCAUGAAAUUCCUAUUAUCACAACGUCUGAUGAUGUCUUCCUGAAGGAGUCGAAAGCUGUUAUGGAAAAUUAUCCAAUUUCACUAAAGGACUGUGAUGAAUUGGAGAAUGAGAAGCAUGCUAAGCUUUUGGCUCCUUCAACCACACCUGUGUAUGUUUCAUCAUCAGAAACAUUAUAUGACGGGCUCACUCACGCUACACUGAGUUCUACUCCAAGUACAGACACUUUAACCCCUAAAUCAAUGAAAGUCAGCCCGGCUACUUCCCCCAUAAGCCCUUCCAGACAAUUUGUGCCAAACAAAUUAAUAAGCGAUAGUUUUCUUGGACAAACAGUCAGCUCAUCAUCAGGCCUUACAAGUCCUCGGAAGUUUGUGCCAAUCAAUGUCGGUGACUCGAGAUUAUCAAGGCCAUCUACUCCAGUAAAAAGUGGCACACCAAUUUCAUCUCCAGUUAGUAGUCCCCGAAAGAGUCUACCGAUGAAACAAGUGGAGUUCUAUACUCGGCCAUCAACCCCAGUGAAAGCUACUGGCAGUUUACAUAGCCUUGAUUCAAUCUCAUGUUCUUCGAUUGAGAGUCCAACCAAGGCUUUUACUGCCAAAAUGACGUCCUCCCCAAGUAAAACCCCAGUACUAUCAGCCUCCCCAAGACACAUGCAGUCUCCAAGAGGCUCAGUUGUUAGAUCUCCAACAUCGAGUCCAAAGCUCCGCCGUGCCCCAUCUCCAAUCCUUGGUUACAGUUACUCUUCUCCAAACAUGAUAGUACCCAACAUGAAAAAUAUAUUUUCCAGCAAAAGAGGUAGUGCAGAAGCUGAAUCAAUUUCAACUCCCAGAAGCAGUUUUGCCCAGGCAGAUGGUUCACCCCCGCAGGCUAGAGCGGGAACUGUAGUUACGUCGUCACGCCAGUCAAAACGGCGAUCCAGUUCUUCUGCAGCUACCACUGCAUUUGCUGCUGCAACUGCAGGUUCAACAAAUCCACUCGAUCACCCAAAAGGAAGCCGGCAAUAUUUAAAUCCAGUGGAUACGAAAACAAAGAAACGAGAAUCAGUGUUAAGUGCAGCAGCUACAAUGAGGGUUCUAAAUGUAAUGAAACAUUGGGUUUCGAAACAUUAUCAGGAUUUCGAUACUGAUGCACAAUUGAAAGCUUUUUUGAUUGAUUUACUUGAAGAAAUGGUGUGCAACACCUCUUUACUACCAGCUGAGCAUAAAGCAGCUGCAGGCAUACUACGCAUAAUCAACCAGGAGAGCCAAGAUAGCAAUAAAGUUGAUUUAGAUAUAUUAUUAGCCCCACCUGCAACAUCUUCAACAGACACGUCAGAUUCAUUAUCAGCAUUGGAUAUUGCAGAACAACUCACUUAUUUAGACCAUAAAAUUUUUAUUGCAAUUCGCAUGAACUGUUAUCUCAGACGUGGAUGAAACCAGAUAAGGAAGUCAGGGCACCACAUGUGCAUUUAGUCACAAAAAGAUUUAAUGAGGUGAGUCGUUUGGUAGUGUCAGAAAUAGUUGGACGUACCAAUAUACAAGACAGAGUAGCAUGUCUUGAAAAGUGGGCUGCAAUCGCCG
rnacentral:misc_RNA from 1 species